rnacentral:lncRNA from 1 species
AGCCAGCCCCCGGCAGGGCCAGCGCAGGGUUUCUGCGGGGCCGUCCUGUGGCUCUGAUAUCUAUGAGUGGGUGGCCAGCAAAGGCACAGGCACCAGCAGAAAGGAGCAGAGAUGCCCAGAACAUGCUGUCCCCCAAUGCCAGCCCCAAGCGAGGCCAGCUUAGGGUGCGGUGGGCAGAGCCAUCCUGCAGCUCUGAGAUCCACGAAGUGGAGGUGGGAGUAGCGCCAGGCUCCACGGCGUUGGAGCUCUCACAACUUGAGCUCAAUUUUAUUCCGGAGCCAUGACCUGCAGCACAUUGGUGACCAGAAGACGCCCAAAGCUUUGAAAAUGGACUUAUCGACCUCAAACCAAUGGGACAUAUUCCUACAUGGCCUUCUCCCCUGUUAGGGUUCCCAGGGUAUGUCUUUAAUGUCUGGUUUAAUAGAAGAAGACUUGGUUCUCCUUUCUGCUUCUAUGUUUAAUUUCUUGUGACAUCCCACGUCAGGUAGCUGGGAAACUCCAAUUAUACUUGUGAGAGAAUGAAAGUGGAAAAGCUGGGCAGAUGUGCCUGAGACAGGUUUGACCAGGCAACUGAAAAGAUAUCCCUAAGAGAAGACAAAGCAAAGGUAUGAAAGGAACACACGUCCCUGACUGACUAGGAGGAACAGAGCUGCCUGCUGUCUGGAACCGCUUCCUCCCAGACUAAGAGAGAAAUAAACUUCUGUUUUCUAUA